CUUGCAGCUUAAUUAAUAAUCUAGCACAUAACAGAUAUGAAUACUCACUCAUUCUGUAAAUGCCUGAUAACCAUUUUUAGGUCUUAACUUAUAUCAAUAUAAACAAAAUAAAAUCACUGUAUUUUAUUCACAGAGUACUUUUCUCAUACACCAUCUUAUUUUAACCUGAUAUUAAUUCAUGAUUGUAAAGCUAUGAGAACACUAAGUGCCACAU
rnacentral:lncRNA from 1 species